CCUUUUUAUUUUUUAUUUUGGAAGAAUUUUGUGUUUAUUGAUUCAAUCGGUAUAUUGACACCCUUGUUGCUUGUUGAUACUUGUGAUGGCAAGAUGCUCGCCAGCAGGAGCCAGUGCUAGGUGAAAGACGCUAGGCUUUGAAAGAUGCAAGAGCAGGUGCCCAGAGUGGGCGGAAGCACUCCUUGAGGACAAACUCUGAUGCCGAUAAAGGUGCAAAACAUGACUUUUCUUGCAUUCUACUAUUGCCUUCAUAGUCUACCCCUACCUUGUCGAAAAAACCCGAUUCUACUCAAACCAGAAUAUUUGAAGCUCACUGCCGCUAAACAAGAUAACACACAACCCCAUCCUUUGUUGCUUAUGUACACCCAUCCAAUCCGUUCCCGGCUCGGAUCCAUGAAAAGUUGUUGCACCAUGUGGCAAAACUGGUGUUUUAAUGCAUCUCAGCAUCUGCAACACACUUGCUUGUACUGACCACUGAAACCUUGAACAACCACCAUCUAAGGUUCAACUAAGGAGCGCUGGUACAACGACACCACCUCCAUACUUAGAUUAAUUAUAUAUGGUCAGGCUUUUUGUUUGUCUGUGCACACAAGUACUUGUGGAAUUAUUGUGACACCACAAUAGAUGAGUUCAAAUUGGGAUAAAAGCACUCUCACGAGGAGGGCAAAGUUUCCUGCUAGGGGCAGCAGCACAAUCCUCAAAAUGCAUCAUAUACACCUUGCCUCAAAUUAACUGAAUGCAGUGAACAGCGAGACCGUGGACAAAUAAUUCAGCAAUCCAUGCUAAUGAUCCAAGAAAGUCUUCAUACUAAGUUGUCAAUGUGCAUUUUCCUAAUGCAUCAAUUAACUGAAAUAGUGAAGAUCAUGUAGAACUAUGAACUAAUAAUUUUAGUAAACCUUGCUAAUGAACCAAGAAAUUUUUUAUACUAAGUUGUUAAUUUGCAUGCCCGUAAGACUUCAAUUAAUUGAAUCGAGGGAACAUUAUGUUGCGCUCUAAACUACUGAGUAAGAAAGACAUGCUAAUGACACAAGAAAGCUAUCAUACUAAGCUUCUGAUGUGCAUACUCGUAAUGGGUCAAUUAUCUGAAUCGAGUGACCAUCAUGCUGCACUUGAAACUAGUAUAAUUCAGCAAGCCAUGCUAAUGAUCGAAGAAUUUUUUUUAUACAAAUUUGUUAAUAUGAACUAGUAUAAUUCAGGCGAUGAAUUAAUUUUGGUCGAUCUGCAGUAUGGUAGUAAUUCAGAGCAAGAUGAUGUUUGGUUUGAUGGCUCAGCUCGGGCAAGAAAGUGGUGCUUAGUCUGAGAGUCUUGUGCUGGAUGGAGCAUCAACAUUUCUGUCUUUCUUUGUUUUGUGCAAAACAGGACAUUCAGAAAUCACCAAAGAUUGUUGUAAUUGCAUGUUUCUAUGUGAAAUACAAAAUACUUGAAGACAUUUGAUUCUUCCUGACGCGUUAUGUUGCCGAAAUUUCUAAUGAAAA
rnacentral:lncRNA from 1 species